rnacentral:rRNA from 1 species
ACGAACGCUGGCGGCGUGCUUAACACAUGCAAGUCGAACGGAAAGGCCCUGCUUUUGUGGGGUGCUCGAGUGGCGAACGGGUGAGUAACACGUGAGUAACCUGCCCUUGACUUUGGGAUAACUUCAGGAAACUGGGGCUAAUACCGGAUAGGAGCUCCUGCUGCAUGGUGGGGGUUGGAAAGUUUCGGCGGUUGGGGAUGGACUCGCGGCUUAUCAGCUUGUUGGUGGGGUAGUGGCUUACCAAGGCUUUGACGGGUAGCCGGCCUGAGAGGGUGACCGGCCACAUUGGGACUGAGAUACGGCCCAGACUCCUACGGGAGGCAGCAGUGGGGAAUAUUGCACAAUGGGCGGAAGCCUGAUGCAGCAACGCCGCGUGCGGGAUGACGGCCUUCGGGUUGUAGACCGCUUUCGCCUGUGAUGAAGCGUGAGUGACGGUAAUGGGUAAAGAAGCACCGGCUAACUACGUG